rnacentral:tRNA from 1 species
GCGAGUGUGCCGAAAUUUGGUAGCCGGGUAAAUUUUAGGAAUUUAUGACUUUAUAAUCGUAAGAGUUCAAGUCUCUUUACUCGUA